rnacentral:rRNA from 1 species
GGAGGAAGGAAUGGGCAACGGUAGGUCAGCAUGCCCCGAAUUAUCCGGGCUACACGCGGGCUACAAUGGUCAGGACAAUGGGUAUCGACACCGAGAGGUGGAGGCAAUCUCCUAAACCUGUCCUUAGUUCGGAUUGUGGGCUGCAACUCGCCCACAUGAAGCUGGAAUCCGUAGUAAUCGCGUUUCAAAAUAGCGCGGUGAAUAUGUCCCUGCUCCUU